GGGUCAGUAGGUUGGUCGUGCCACCGGUACGUACUGGUCUCACUGAUUCCUCCUCCCUGAAGAACCGUAAUGCCAUUAAUUUGGUGUUGCGGGGAAACAGGACUUUUACUUUGAAAAAAUUAGAGUGUUUAAAGCAAGCUAACGCUUGAAUACAUUAGAAUGGAAUAAUGAAAUAGGACGAUCGAUCCUAUUUUGUUGGUUUCUAGGAUUGACGUA
rnacentral:rRNA from 1 species